AUGAGUCAAAUUCUUGCCUCAUAUCACCAUACCAUGCUGCUCCUUCAACGAUCCGUCCGUGCAUAGUGCCCUGGAAGUCGGGAGCUAGCAACCAACCACCACUCCAUCAGUGCCUCAUUUUCCUCCGAGUUGUGCCCUAAUGCCCCGUUAUCUCCACAAUUAACUUGUGCCCUAGCUUUUGCGGUCCGCUCUCCUUGGGGAUGGCAUGAUCGAAGGGAAGCCGAUGGCCAGUGACCACCCUUCACGCUGACUAGUUGGGAAGGGGCCACCGGUGCCCUAGUGCACCAUUGUCUCCACCAUCCACUUGUGCCUUAGCUUCUACCGUGCCCCAUCCCCAGUGACAACAUGACCAGAGAGAAGUCGACAGCUAGUGAUCAUCUUUCACUCCAUCCGGGUUUUCAAGUGACCUCCAAUUCUCAAGUUCCCAGAUCCACUCUCACCCUCCGGGCAUUUUCCAUUCUCCACCGCCAACCAUGGUACAAUUAAUUUGGUUCGAGUCAAGAAAUUGGGUUUUUUGGUCUAUUUGUUUUAUAAUACAUUUUUACUUUGUGUCUAAAUGAAGGAAUAGCUACAUUACAAUUCCUACAACAUGCAGUCAACAAAGGAAAAUAGAAUAUGCGAUCAUAUAUCAGCGAGAUCUUCUGUUAGAAUCAUUACAUGUACAUGCUUUAUGUAUAAGUUUAUACGUGAUUGCUACUAUAAUUGACCCACGCUUUAAUCAUUUUCAGCAUAUAUAGUUCAUAUGCAUGUGGAUUUAUAUGAUGGGCGCAUGUGGGCAUUUAUUUUACAAUGAUGUGUUUCAAAAAGAAGCAGUGUUGCAG
rnacentral:lncRNA from 1 species